AGAUUGAACGCUGGCGGCAUGCUUUACACAUGCAAGUCGAACGGUAACAGGCCGCAAGGUGCUGACGAGUGGCGAACGGGUGAGUAAUGCAUCGGAACGUGCCCAGUCGUGGGGGAUAACGCAGCGAAAGCUGUGCUAAUACCGCAUACGAUCUAUGGAUGAAAGCGGGGGACCGAAAGGCCUCGCGCGAUUGGAGCGGCCGAUGUCAGAUUAGCUAGUUGGUGGGGUAAAGGCCCACCAAGGCGACGAUCUGUAGCUGGUCUGAGAGGACGACCAGCCACACUGGAACUGAGACACGGUCCAGACUCCUACGGGAGGCAGCAGUGGGGAAUUUUGGACAAUGGGCGCAAGCCUGAUCCAGCAAUGCCGCGUGCAGGAAGAAGGCCUUGGUGUAAACUGCUUUUGUACGGAACGAAACGGUACGUGGUUAAUACCGUCGGCGUAAUGACGGUACGUAAGAAUAAGUACACCGGCUAACUACGU
rnacentral:rRNA from 1 species